UUAUUGUUUAAGACACAUUUUGGCAUCCAUCCACUUCAACAACAACUUAAGGCGUGAUGUAAAGAUGAAGAAUGAUGGCAGUUUCCAAAUAAAUGUAGUGUAUCCAAAGUUUAAAAAUGGUGAAGGAACUGUGAGGGAUGUCAGAGUUAAGCCCAAAUUUGAGUAUGUGGAUGAAUUAUUUGAGAGUGUGAUGCUGUCAACAAAAGACAAAGAUGCAUUAUCAAAUUCACAAAAUCUUUUGAAAGAAAUGUCCCCACCAUCAAUGAAUGUCAUGCUGCAAAAGCAACCCAGAGCUGAGGUGUUAUUAAAACAGGUCCGUUGAAAAUGCAUUGUGGUCAAUGAUGUCCCUCCCUCAAUUCCAGCAGCUACCAGUGUGCCAUUCAGCUGUCAGUCAA